GACGAACGCUGGCGGCGUGCUUAACACAUGCAAGUCGAACGGGAAGGCCCUGCUUUUGUGGGGUGCUCGAGUGGCGAACGGGUGAGUAACACGUGAGCAACCUGCCCUUGACUUUGGGAUAACUUCAGGAAACUGGGGCUAAUACCGGAUAGGAGCUCCUGCUGCAUGGUGGGGGUUGGAAAGUUUCGGCGGUUGGGGAUGGACUCGCGGCUUAUCAGCUUGUUGGUGGGGUAGUGGCUUACCAAGGCUUUGACGGGUAGCCGGCCUGAGAGGGUGACCGGCCCAUUGGGACUGAGAUACGGCCCAGACUCCUACGGGAGGCAGCAGUGGGGAAUAUUGCACAAUGGGCGGAAGCCUGAUGCAGCAACGCCGCGUGCGGGAUGACGGCCUUCGGGUUGUAAACCGCUUUCGCCUGUGACGAAGCGUGAGUGACGGUAAUGGGUAAAGAAGCACCGGCUAACUACGUG
rnacentral:rRNA from 1 species